rnacentral:misc_RNA from 1 species
AUGCGAUAAGUAGUGUGAAUUGCAGAAUUCAGUGAAUCAUCGAAUCUUUGAACGCACAUUGCGCCCCUCGGUAUUCCGUGGGGCAUGCCUGUUCGAGCGUCAUCUACACCCUCAAGCUCUGCUUGGUGUUGGGCGUCUGUCCCGCCUCCGCGCGUGGACUCGCCCCAAAUACAUUGGCAGCGGUCUUUGCCUCCUCUCGCGCAGCACAUUGCGCUUCUUGAGGUGUCGCGGACACGCGUCCAGUAAGCAACAUUUACCGUCUUUGACCUCGGAUCAGGUAGGGAUACCCGCUGAACUUAA